CAUAGGCUUCCUUCCCUUUCUCUCUCCCUUCCCGAUUCCCCACCAGACUGAAAUUGGGGCAAUCAGUACACCCGAUGUGUCCAGGGAAGUUCUCCAGUUUCUGGAACCUAGACCUCUAGACCAUUAGUUGAAGAAAUGUGACCCAUCCCGUAAAACAUGGCUGCAAAGAACACUGCCCUCAACACCGGCCUUCAAAGAGAGGGAGCUCAGACAGCAAAGCCUGCAGAUGAGAGUAAUUUGGAUUUUUGCUGUUUACACUUACAUAAGCUCCAAAUAAACAAGGUAUGUUACACAACCUGAGAAAUGAAUGCCUUCUGUAUUUACCCUCCAGAGAUCCCCACAGAAGGCAACAGAGAAAAAAGGAGCAGUAUAAAGAAAAUUUUUAUUUGAGAAAACAAUAAAG
rnacentral:lncRNA from 1 species